UCCUACGGGGGGCUGCAGUGGGGAAUAUUGGACAAUGGGCGAAAGCCUGAUCCAGCCAUGCCGCGUGAGUGAUGAAGGCCCUAGGGUUGUAAAGCUCUUUCAACGGUGAAGAUAAUGACGGUAACCGUAGAAGAAGCCCCGGCUAACUUCGUGCCAGCAGCCGCGGUAAUACGAAGGGGGCUAGCGUUGUUCGGAUUUACUGGGCGUAAAGCGCACGUCGGCGGACUAUUAAGUCAGGGGUGAAAUCCCGGGGCUCAACCCCGGAACUGCCUUUGAUACUGGUAGUCUCGAGUCCGGAAGAGGUGAGUGGAAUUCCGAGUGUAGAGGUGAAAUUCGUAGAUAUUCGGAGGAACACCAGUGGCGAAGGCGGCUCACUGGUCCGGUACUGACGCUGAGGUGCGAAAGCGUGGGGAGCAAACAGGAUUAGAUACCCCAGUAGUC
rnacentral:rRNA from 2 species